GCAAGUCGAACGGAGCACCCUUGAUUGAGGUUUCGGCCAAAUGAUAGGAAUGCUUAGUGGCGGACUGGUGAGUAACGCGUGAGGAACCUGCCUUUCAGAGGGGGACAACAGUUGGAAACGACUGCUAAUACCGCAUGACGCAUUUUGAUCGCAUGGUCGAAAUGCCAAAGAUUUAUCGCUGAAAGAUGGCCUCGCGUCUGAUUAGCUAGUUGGUGAGGUAACGGCCCACCAAGGCGACGAUCAGUAGCCGGACUGAGAGGUUGACC
rnacentral:rRNA from 1 species